AGCGAACGCUGGCGGCAGGCUUAACACAUGCAAGUCGAGCGGGUGUAGCAAUACAUCAGCGGCAGACGGGUGAGUAACGCGUGGGAACGUACCUUUUGGUUCGGAACAACCCAGGGAAACUUGGGCUAAUACCGGAUAAGCCCUUACGGGGAAAGAUUUAUCGCCGAAAGAUCGGCCCGCGUCUGAUUAGCUAGUUGGUGAGGUAAUGGCUCACCAAGGCGACGAUCAGUAGCUGGUCUGAGAGGAUGAUCAGCCACAUUGGGACUGAGACACGGCCCAAACUCCUACGGGAGGCAGCAGUGGGGAAUAUUGGACAAUGGGGGCAACCCUGAUCCAGCCAUGCCGCGUGAGUGAUGAAGGCCCUAGGGUUGUAAAGCUCUUUUGUGCGGGAAGAUAAUGACGGUACCGCAAGAAUAAGCCCCGGCUAACUUCGUGCCAGCCGCCGCAGUAAUAC
rnacentral:rRNA from 1 species